ensembl:snRNA U6 U6 spliceosomal RNA
GUUCAUUCAAUGGCAUAUAUCUACAAUGGGAAUGGCACAAAGAGGGUUAGCAUGACCCCUGUGCAAGGAUGACACACACAUUCUUGAAAUAUCCCAUACUUUA